GAUGAACGCUGACAGAAUGCUUAACACAUGCAAGUCUUUGGCGAAGCUGUGCUUGCACAGCCUAGCCAAGGCGGACGGGUGAGUAACGCGUAAGGAACUUGCCCUGCAGUCAGGGAUAACAGACGGAAACGACUGAUAAGACCUGGUAAAGUCAGGCGGACUCAUGUCCAGCCUGAUGAAAAGAGAUGCUGCAGGAGAGCCUUGCGUCCUAUUAGCUUGUUGGUGGGGUAACGGCCCACCAAGGCGAUGAUAGGUAGCCGGCCUGAGAGGGUGGACGGCCACAAGGGGACUGAGAUACGGCCCUUACUCCUACGGGAGGCAGCAGUGGGGAAUAUUGGACAAUGGGGGCAACCCUGAUCCAGCAAUUCUGUGUGCACGAUGAAGGUUUUCGGAUUGUAAAGUGCUUUCAGCAGGGAAGAAAAAAUGACGGUACCUGCAGAAGAAGCGACGGCUAAAUACGU
rnacentral:rRNA from 1 species